UUGUAUUGGCGGAGAUGAACU
ensembl:piRNA 21ur-5523 ncRNA